GGCCGGGUGGUGCAAUGGUAACACGCGCAAUCUACUUGAAUCUCCCAAGUUUUCGUUUGCAAGUUCCUCGUUUGAUUCGGGGUCCGGCCU